UACAGAGGGUGCGAGCGUUAAUCGGAAUUACUGGGCGUAAAGCGUGCGUAGACGGUUAUGUAAGUUAGGUGUGAAAGCCCCCGGCUCAACUGGGGAGGGUCACGCGAUACUGAUCGACUCGAAGGCAGGAGAGGGUAGUGGAAUUCCCGGUGUAGUGGUGAAAUGCGUAGAUAUCGAGAGGAACACCAGUGGCGCAAGCGGCUGACUGGCCGAGACCUGACGCUGAGACACGACGGCGUGGGGAGCAAACCGG
rnacentral:rRNA from 1 species